UAGUAGAUAUGGUGGACAAAUUGAGAAAAUACUGAACUCGAGUCAAAUUGGACUAAAUGCUAUUAUCAUUUUUUUCUCUAAUAUGAAGAAAAUUUAAAUUUAGAUAAAUGCAAGCAGCUAUACAAUGUAUAUAUGAAGUUUCCUUACCCAGCUCUUUCAUAUAAGUUCUAUGAAUGUUUCCACUUUCUACCCAAAAACUGCUGGAAGGUUUUAUGUCAAAAUGGUUGUACAUUUUUCCAAGUCAUAUUUCAGCCUUCUAUUAAUAUGAAAUUGAGAAAUUGUUUUGCUUAGCAAAAGAUGGUGAAAUUGAUUUGUGAAUGCCACUAGCUAUAAAAAGGUAUUAGAAGGAAUUCCAAAUAGACUAAGAAAUAAUCUUAAGUUUCAGGAAGAAAACUAGGAAAUGUACACCCAGUUUUUUUUUUUUUCCCCACACAUAUUUUUAAACCCAGGAACUAUUACAUUCAUACUAGAAACCAAGGUGAACUUGGUAUAUAGUAUUUUGAUAAACUGUUAGAUUUUUUGAAUUGAUUGUAUUAAAUUAUUGAAAUCUUUAUUUGCAUUUGAAUGCGUAAUUUUCAUCUUUAAAGGUCCUUUGCCUUUCAUUUUUAUUACUUGACUCACGAAGACUAAAUUAGGAAUGGCAAUCUAAAAUAUCCAGGAAGAAAAUAAUUUCUGUAUAUAAAAAUGAAUAAAAAUUCUUUUCAAGCCAUGUUGUUUAAAUGACACUCCACAAGUCUACCUACUCUGCCACAUCGUGUAUUAGUUGAAUAAACGACUUCUAGAUUCUC
rnacentral:lncRNA from 1 species